rnacentral:rRNA from 1 species
AGUGAACGCUGGCGGUAGGCCUAACACAUGCAAGUCGAACGGCAGCACAGUAAGAGCUUGCUCUUACGGGUGGCGAGUGGCGGACGGGUGAGGAAUACAUCGGAAUCUACUUUUUCGUGGGGGAUAACGUAGGGAAACUUACGCUAAUACCGCAUACGACCUACGGGUGAAAGCAGGGGAUCUUCGGACCUUGCGCGAUUGAAUGAGCCGAUGUCGGAUUAGCUAGUUGGCGGGGUGAAGGCCCACCAAGGCGACGAUCCGUAGCUGGUCUGAGAGGAUGAUCAGCCACACUGGAACUGGGACACGGUCCAGACUCCUACGGGAGGCAGCAGUGGGGAAUAUUGGACAAAGGGCGCAAGCCUGAUCCAGCCAUACCGCGUGGGUGAAGAAGGCCUUCGGGUUGUAAAGCCCUUUUGUUGGGAAAGAAAAGCAGCAGGUUAAUACCCCGCUGUUCUGACGGUACCCAAAGAAUAAGCACCGGCUAACUUCGUG